rnacentral:rRNA from 1 species
UUGAACGCUGGCGGUAUGCUUAACGCAUGCAAGUCGAACGGUAACAGGUCUAGCUUGCUAGACGCUGACGAGUGGCGGACGGGUGAGUAAUGCAUAGGAAUCUGCCUAAUAGUUGGGGACAACCCGGGGAACCCGGGCUAAUACCGAAUAAGCUCUACGGAGGAAAGCGUGGGACCGCAAGGCCACGUGCUAUUAGAUGAGCCUGUGUCGGAUUAUGCUUGUUGGUGAGGUAAAGGCUCACCAAGGCUACGAUCCGUAGCUGGUCUGAGAGGACGACCAGCCACACUGGACUGAGACACGGCCCAGACUCCUACGGGAGGCAGCAGUGGGGAAUAUUGGACAAUGGGGGCAACCCUGAUCCAGCAAUACCGUGUGUGCGAAGAAGGCCUGCGGGUUGUAAAGCACUUUCAUUGGGGAGGAAGGCCUUAUAGUUAAUAGCUAUGAGGAUUGACGUUACCUGAAGAAGAAGCACCGGCUUAACUCUGUGCCAGCAAGCCGCGGUAAUACAGAGGGUGCAAGCGUUAAUCGGAAUUACUUCGGGCGUAAAGCGCACGUAGGUGGUAUUUUAAGUUGGGUGUGAAAUCCCCGGGCUCAACCUGGGAACUGCAUCCAAGACUGUGAUACUAGAGUAUGGUAGAGGGAAGUGGAAUUUCCAGUGUAGCGGUGAAAUGCGUAGAUAUUGGAAGGAACACCAGUGGCGAAGGCGGCUUCCUGGACUAAUACUGACACUGUAGGUGCGAAAGCGUGGGUAGCGAACAGGAUUAGAUACCCUGGUAGUCCACGCCGUAAACGAUGAGAACUAGUUAUUGGAGAGUCAUAGACUUUUUAGUGACGAAGCAAACGCGAUAAGUUCUCCUGCCUGGGGAGUACGGCCGCAAGGUUAAAACUCAAAGGAAUUGACGGGGGCCCGCACAAGCGGUGGAACAUGUGGUUUAAUUCGAUGACAACGCGAAAAACCUUACCCUACUCUUGACAAUCCUAGGAACAUACUAGAGAUAGAAUGGUGCCUUCGGGAACCUAGAGACAGGUGCUGCAUGGCUGUCGUCAGCUCGUGUCGUGAGGUGUUGGGUUAAGUCCCGUAACGAGCGCAACCCCUAUGUCAUAGUUGCUAACAGGUAAAGCUGAGAACUUUAUGGAGUACUGCCGGUGAUAAAACCGGAGGAAGGUGGGGAUGACGUCAAGUCAUCAUGGCCCUUAUGAGUAGGGCUACACACGUGUUACAAUGGUCGGUACAGAGGGAAGCGAAGGGGUGACCUGAAGCGAAUCUCAGAAAGCCGAUCAUCAGUUUCGGGAUUGUAGUCUGCAACUCGACUGCACGAAGUUGGAAUCGCUAGUAAUCGCGGAUCAGCACGCCGCGGUGAAUACGUUCUCGGGCCUUGUACACACCGCCCGUCACACCAUGGGAGUGGAUUGUACCAGAAGUGGAUAGGCUAACCGUAAGGGGGCCGUUUACCACGGUAUUGCUCAUGACUGGGGUG